rnacentral:lncRNA from 1 species
AAUAGAAAGAGCUGCAAUCUCUGCCAGACAUGGCAAAGUUGAGUGGGAUGUUGUUUCAAUUAGUGCUGAUGUUAGGAAGGACUGUAAGGAUCUAAAGGCAGGUGUUUGCCAUUGGCAGGGAAACACAUCUGCUUUUCAUUUUGUCUUAAUCUUUCAGUGCUAGAUAAAUAGAGGAUUGUGUGCCCUCACCUUGGACCCCUCCUGCCCUCUUCUGCUGAGAUGGAGAAAUGUUUCAGCUUCUAGAAGGACAUCAGGACAAAGGAGCUCUUGACUUGACAGCUAGAGGGAUGCAAUAGAAAGAGCUGCAACCUCUGCCAGACAUGGCAAAGAUAAACAGGGGAGAGUGUGGCCUCACCUUGGUACUCUCCUGCCCUCUUCUGCUCAGAGGGAGAAAUUUCCCAGCUUC